rnacentral:rRNA from 1 species
CCAGACUCCUACGGGAGGCGGCAGUGGGGGAUAUUGCACAAUGGGGGGAACCCUGAUGCAGCGACGCCGCGUGGGUGAAGGAGCGUUUCGGCGCGUAAAGCCCUAUCGGCAGGGAAGAAGGAGGACGGUACCUGACUAAGAAGCCCUGGCUAACUACGUGCCAGCAGCCGCGGUAAUACGUAGGGGGCAAGCGUUAUCCGGAUUUACUGGGUGUAAAGGGGGCGCAGACGGCGAUGCAAGCCAGGAGUGAAAGCCCGGGGCCCAACCCCGGGACUGCUCUUGGAACUGCGUGGCUAGAGUGCAGGAGGGGCAGGCGGAAUUCCUAGUGUAGCGGUGAAAUGCGUGGAUAUUAGGAGGAACACCAGUGGCGAAGGCGGCUUACUGGACUGUAACUGACGUUGAGGCUCGAAAGCGUGGGGAGCAAACAGGAUUAGAUACCCCUGUA